rnacentral:tRNA from 1 species
CCUUGGUUAGCUCAGUCGGUGGAGUACUCCACUGAAAAUGGAGAGGUCCCUUGCUCGUUACCAGGACCAGGCG